UGGAUAAGUCUAAUCGACAAGCCACAUGCAUAUUGGAAAUGGAGAUAUACCAUGGCACUAACAGCCGAAGCCAAAGCGGCCAUCGUUGCAGACUAUCAAACAGCUGAG
rfam:Motiliproteus sp. MSK22-1 scaffold18_cov2718_read212, whole genome shotgun sequence.